GACGUAGGGGGCCAGCGUUGCUCGGAAUUACUGGGCGUAAAGGGUUCGUAGGCGGCUUGGCAAGUGGAAGGUGAAAUCCCUCGGCUUAACCGAGGAACUGCCCUCCAAACUGCUUCGCUUGAGACCGGGAGAGGUGAGUGGAAUUCCCAGUGUAGCGGUGAAAUGCGUAGAUAUUGGGAGGAACACCAGUGGCGAAGGCGGCUCACUGGACCGGUACUGACGCUGAUGCGCGAAAGCGUGGGGAGCAAACGGG
rnacentral:rRNA from 1 species